rnacentral:rRNA from 1 species
CCUACGGGGAGCAGCAGUGAGGAAUAUUGGUCAAUGGACGAGAGUCUGAACCAGCCAAGUAGCGUGAAGGAUGACUGCCCUAUGGGUUGUAAACUUCUUUUAUAUGGGAAUAAAAUGUUCCACGUGUGGGAUUUUGUAUGUACCAUAUGAAUAAGGAUCGGCUAACUCCGUUCCAGCAGCCGCGUUAAUACGGAGGAUCCGAGCGUUAUCCGGAUUUAUUUGGUUUAAAGGGAGCGUAGGUGGAUUGUUAAGUCAGUUGUGAAAGUUUGCGGCUCAACAGUAAAAUUGCAGUUGAAACUGGCAGUCGUGAGUACAGUAGAGGUGGGAGGAAUUCGUGGUGUAGCGGUGAAAUGCUUAGAUAUCACGAAGAACUCCGAUUGCGAAGGCAGCUCACUGGACUGCAACUGACACGGAGGCUCGAAAGUGUGGGUAUCAAACAGGAUUAGAUACCCGGGUAGUA